AGGCUAGGUCGAAGAAGGUGAGUAGCGUGCGCGUGAGCCCCUUGCAGAACGCACCAUAGGAGCUGCGCGUCGCCGCCCAACGCGACAGUCGCACUGCCAGGCCAGACAGGGCCGCUGCCGCAGCGGCUGCAGAGAGGGCCGCAGUCACCGCCAUUGGCCUGGCUCUCCGCUCACCUGCUGCAGAGCCAGAUCAGUGCGCUGCGCCACGCCACCCAACGCUGUCCGCAGCCCCGCCCUAGGGCUCCAGGGUCCUUGCAGCCUCCAGUGCUCCACCCCCAACACCUCCGUCUUUGUAGCUCUCCGCCCUCUCUUGCUGCUCAGCUCCGCCCCCUCGCUGCAGGCUCAAGGCAGAAGCCCUUAUUAGUUCCGCAGGUUCCACCAAAUUCAAUCCAAAGCCAGGCCAUCUCCAGAGAUGCAGGGAACUGUUCAGUCAACUCUGCAAAUGUGAGGGCAAAAUAGCCAAGGUUCCACAUUGCAGUGCGAUGCUUAUGUUUAGUAGGUUAGGCAUCUUACUUAGGAUGUCUUCAACUUACAAUAGAUAUGCAAUAGAUAUAACAACUAGAUAUUAGGUGUGUAAAUCAAAGACUAUCUGUAUACAUUGAUAUGGAAUAGAGUGACCCCCUUCAUCCUCAUUUUUAUUUUAUAGCACAUCUAUAGUUAUGCUCGAGGCUGUGCAUAUCCAUAUAAUUUUAGAAUCAAUGUGUCUGUGAGUGCAAAAAGGCAUUGCUGGAAAUUGUGUUAAAUAAAUAGACCAAUUUGGGGGAGAAACAUCAUUUUUUUGCUGAUUGUACUAAGUCAUGAAUAGAAUCUGUCUUUGUUCAUUAAGAUGUUUUCUUAUUUCUUUUAUUGGCAUUAAGAUCCUUUAUACAUUUGUUAAAGGUACUCUAAAAUAUUAAUUUUCUUUGAAGCCAUUAUAAAUGAUUUUGGACUUUUGAUCUCAGUUUCCAUAUGCUUGCUCAUUAUUAGUAUAUAGAAAUGUAUUAUGUGUGUAUGUAUAUGUGUAUGCAUGUCUAUGUAUUCCUGUGUGGUUACAUAGGCAUGUGUAGGCAUUAACGCAUGCUUAUGUGUAGAGGCAAGAGGACAGACCAAGGAAGAUUAUCCACUUUGUUUUUUGGAUAGUGUCUUAAGGGUCAGGGGCCCUCCAAGUGGAUCAGAAGGCCAGAGAGCCCUAGGGAUCUGCCUGUCUUUGCCUCCCCAAGGUCUGGGAUUAAAAACAUAUGCCACUACCCAGUGUAAUGGCACAUACCUUUGGUCCUCAGCACUCUGCAGGCAAGGACAGGCAGACCUCUGCACGUUUCUGACCAACCUGGUCUACAUAACAAGUCCCAGGCCAGUCAUGCCUACCUGGUGAGGCUGUCUACAACAAAACCUCCAACAAACCAAAAGCAAGCAAGCAAACAAACAAACAAAGCCCGCCUUGUCCCUCCAUGCCUGACAUUUUACAUGUGUUCUGGAGUUGGGACUCAGGUCCUCUCCCUUUGUGCUUUACUUUUGGAGCUAUCCUCCUACCCUUGAAAUGGAAAUUUUUGUGUGUUCAUCUUGUGUCCUCAGCACUGGAAAAUUUUGUAACUAGAAUAUCACAUCAUAUAGGAAUUAGGGCAGUUCUUUUCGUCCUUUCUAAUCUUUAUAUCCAUUCCUUGUCUCACUGCAGUGGUUAGAACUCAGUGUUAGGCAGAUGAUAAGAGUUAGCUGCCCUAAUGGAUGUGUAGCAACAAAUGCAUUUCCUACGUCACUGAUGCUGAAUAUCUUUAGAAUUAUUAUUAUAAUAAACUUUCAUAUAUCU
ensembl:antisense